rnacentral:lncRNA from 1 species
CUAGAACGUACAUUCUUGGGUUGCUGCUACAUUUGACCACAUAGUUCAUGGAUGAAAAAUUACUUCAGAAAUCAGAACGGCAGCACAAGAAGUACGUGUGCACAGGUAUCUCGAUCAUCUGCAAGCCACCGUGACAGAGCUCAACAGCUUUGCCAGCGCUGCCACUGGUGAGAAGUGCACCCUCAACCCAGCGCCUGCAGGCUGUGCUGGAUUGAUUCAGAAAACAUUAACAAGAAAACAUUAAUGCUGUGGAGCACAACAUGAAUUAGAGGAGAUUGACAAUGAAAUUCACAACAU